UACGUAGGGGGCGAGCGUUGUUCGGAAUUAUUGGGCGUAAAGGGCGUGUAGGCGGUGCGGUAAGUCGGGCGUGAAAUCUCCGGGCUUAACUCGGAGGGGCCGUCCGGGACUGCCGUGCUCGAGGGUGGGAGAGGGAAGUGGAAUUCCCGGUGUAGCGGUGAAAUGCGUAGAUACCGGGAGGAACACCUGCGGCGAAGGCGGCUUCCUAGACCACAUCUGACGCUGAAGCGCGAAAGCUAGGGGAGCAAACAGG
rnacentral:rRNA from 1 species